UACGGAGGGUGCGAGCGUUGUCCGGAAUCACUGGGCGUAAAGGGCGCGUAGGUGGCGCUCCAAGUCCGUGGUGAAAGCUCGAUGCUCAACAUCGAGUCGGCCACGGAGACUGGAGGGCUCGAGCACUGUAGGGGCAGAUGGAAUUCCGGGUGUAGCGGUGGAAUGCGUAGAGAUCCGGAAGAACACCGGUGGCGAAGGCGGUCUGCUGGGCAGUUGCUGACACUGAGGCGCGACAGCGUGGGGAGCAAACAGG
rnacentral:rRNA from 1 species